rnacentral:rRNA from 1 species
AUUGUACGCUGGCGGCAUGCCUUACACAUGCAAGUCGAACGGUAACGGGCCUUCGGGUGCCGACGAGUGGCGAACGGGUGAGUAAUGUAUCGGAACGUACCUUUCAGUGGGGGAUAACGUAGCGAAAGUUACGCUAAUACCGCAUAUUCUGUGAGCAGGAAAGCAGGGGAUCGCAAGACCUUGCGCUGAUUGAGCGGCCGAUAUCAGAUUAGCUAGUUGGUGAGGUAAAGGCUCACCAAGGCGACGAUCUGUAGCGGGUCUGAGAGGAUGAUCCGCCACACUGGAACUGAGACACGGUCCAGACUCCUACGGGAGGCAGCAGUGGGGAAUUUUGGACAAUGGGGGCAACCCUGGUCCAGCCAUGCCGCGUGAGUGAAGAAGGCCUUCGGGUUGUAAAGCUCUUUCGGCCGGGAAGAAAUCGUAUCAGCUAAUACCUGGUGCGGAUGACGGUACCGGCAUAAGAAGCACCGGCUAACUACGUGCCAGCCGCCGCGGUAACAC